AGUGGCAGACGGGUGAGUAAUGUAUAGGAAUCUACCUAGUAGUACGGAAUAAUUGUUGGAAACGGCAACUAAUACCGUAUACGCCCUACGGGGAAAAAUUUAUUGCUAUUAGAUGAGCCUAUAUUAGAUUAGUUAGUUGGUGAGGUAAAGGCUUACCAAGACAAUGAUCUAUAGCUGAUCUGAGAGGAUGAUCAGCCACACUGGAACUGAGAUACGGUCCAGACUCCUACGGGAGGCAGCAGUGGGGAAUAUUGGACAAUGGGCGAAAGCCUGAUCCAGCCAUGCCGCAUGAGUGAAGAAGGCCUUCGGGUUGUAAAGCUCUUUUAGUGAGGAAGAUAAUGACGGUACUCACAGAAGAAGUCCUGGCUAACUCCGUGCCAGCAGCCGCGGUAAUACGGAGAGGGCUAGCGUUAUUCGGAAUCAUUGGGCGUAAAGGGCGCGUANGCGGGUUAGUAAGUUAAAAGUGAAAUCCCAAGGCUCAACCUUGGAACUGCUUUUAAAACUGCUAGUCUAGAGAUUGAAAGAGGAUAGAGGAAUUCCUAGUGUAGAGAUGAAAUUCGUAAAUAUUNNGANGAACACC
rnacentral:rRNA from 1 species